rnacentral:rRNA from 1 species
AGUGAACGCUGGCGGUAGGCCUAACACAUGCAAGUCGAACGGCAGCACAGUAAGAGCUUGCUCUUACGGGUGGCGAGUGGCGGACGGGUGAGGAAUACAUCGGAAUCUACUUUUUCGUGGGGGAUAACGUAGGGAAACUUACGCUAAUACCGCAUACGACCUACGGGUGAAAGCAGGGGAUCUUCGGACCUUGCGCGAUUGAAUGAGCCGAUGUCGGAUUAGCUAGUUGGCGGGGUAAAGGCCCACCAAGGCGACGAUCCGUAGCUGGUCUGAGAGGAUGAUCAGCCACACUGGAACUGAGACACGGUCCAGACUCCUACGGGAGGCAGCAGUGGGGAAUAUUGGACAAAGGGCGCAAGCCUGAUCCAGCCAUACCGCGUGGGUGAAGAAGGCCUUCGGGUUGUAAAGCCGUUUUGUUGGGAAAGAAAAGCAGCAGGUUAAUACCCCGCUGUUCUGACGGUACCCAAAGAAUAAGCACCGGCUAACUUCGUG